GAUGAACGCUGGCGGCGUGCCUAAUACAUGCAAGUCGAGCGAACAGACGAGGAGCUUGCUCCUCUGACGUUAGCGGCGGACGGGUGAGUAACACGUGGAUAACCUACCUAUAAGACUGGGAUAACUUCGGGAAACCGGAGCUAAUACCGGAUAAUAUAUUGAACCGCAUGGUUCAAUAGUGAAAGACGGUUUUGCUGUCACUUAUAGAUGGAUCCGCGCCGCAUUAGCUAGUUGGUAAGGUAACGGCUUACCAAGGCAACGAUGCGUAGCCGACCUGAGAGGGUGAUCGGCCACACUGGAACUGAGACACGGUCCAGACCCCUACGGGAGGCAGCAGUAGGGAAUCUUCCGCAAUGGGCGAAAGCCUGACGGAGCAACGCCGCGUGAGUGAUGAAGGUCUUCGGAUCGUAAAACUCUGUUAUUAGGGAAGAACAAAUGUGUAAGUAACUAUGCACGUCUUGACGGUACCUAAUCAGAAAGCCACGGUUAACUACGUG
rnacentral:rRNA from 1 species